UCCAUCCGCUUCCUAGGAACCUGCCC
rnacentral:piRNA from 1 species